ACGGGCGCUUGGCCGCGAGGUCGAGCGAGAAGCUGGCGCGCGAGAUCAUGCCAUUGAGCUUGUCGCCCACCGCGUCGAAGGUCGCCUUGUCCGAGAAGCCCGCCGCCUGCGCGAGAAUGUUGUUCGGCUUGUAGCCGAGUUCGUCCAUGGUCUUCAUCAGGAGGAUCGUGUCGGUGGUGUAGCUCGAAGGCAGCAGCACAUCCGGAUUGGC
rnacentral:misc_RNA from 1 species